rnacentral:snoRNA from 1 species
UUUGCAAGUGAUGAUAAAACAGACAGGGACAUCAGAACCUCCAUUAUAUGGGGAAAAUGUGAUGACUUAGUCUAAUGGGAAUCUCUCUGAUGCAAA